rnacentral:rRNA from 1 species
UACGGGGGGGCAAGCGUUGUUCGGAAUUACUGGGCGUAAAGGGUUCGUAGGCGGCCAACUAAGUCAGACGUGAAAUCCCUCGGCUUAACCGGGAACUGCGUCUGAUACUGGAUGGCUUGAGUUUGGGAGAGGGAUGCGGAAUUCCAGGUGUAGCGGUGAAAUGCGUAGAUAUCUGGAGGAACACCGGUGGCGAAGGCGGCAUCCUGGACCUGACCUGACGCUGAGGCGCGAAGGCGUGGGGGGAGCG